UCAGGAUGAACGCUAGCUACAGGCUUAACACAUGCAAGUCGAGGGCAUCAGGGAUCUAGCUUGCUAGAUUUGCUGGCGACCGGCGCACGGGUGAGUAACGCGUAUCCAACCUUCCCUAUAGUAGAGGAUAGCCCGGCGAAAGUCGGAUUAAUACUCUAUGUUGUUCAAUGCAGACAUCUAAAUUGAACCAAAGGUUUACCGCUAUAGGAUGGGGAUGCGUCUGAUUAGGUAGUAGGCGGGGUAACGGCCCACCUAGCCAACGAUCAGUAGGGGUUCUGAGAGGAAGGUCCCCCACAUUGGAACUGAGACACGGUCCAAACUCCUACGGGAGGCAGCAGUGAGGAAUAUUGGUCAAUGGACGAGAGUCUGAACCAGCCAAGUAAGCGUGCAGGAUGACGGCCCUAUGGGUUGUAAACUGCUUUUAUACGGGGAUAAAGUGAGGGACGUGUCCCUUUUUGUAGGUACCGUAUGAAUAAGGACCGGCUAAUUCCGUGCCAGCAGCUGC
rnacentral:rRNA from 1 species